GGGAGCGUGGCAAUGGCCAAAUCUCAGCCUAUUUAUUAUGGUUAUGAACUUCCUGUUAUCUAUAUUCUCAUUCCUCCGAUGGUACCAAGGUUUGGCGGGCGGGCUUCCUUGGAUCUUAGCAUACCAUUUUCCCUUUUCCAUACUAGUAAUAGUCCAGUACUCAUGCCAUAUCUUUUUCAGGUCUUGACUGAUUGCGGCUUGAUAGUCAGUGUGAGGUAACUUCAACAACGUAGAAUGGUCAACAUCAAAGCCAUUCCUUGCAGCCAGAUCAACAAUUUCAUUCCCCCUGAUGCCACGGUGUGAUGGUACCCAAAGGAAGAGCAGUGUCUUACCAACUACCCCGGGUACUCCAAUAUCACAUAAGAUGGCUAUUAAAAUUGAGGGGACCACGUUAUCGAACGCGCCCUGUACAUCAAGGAAGACACAAGCUGUAGCAGAGUGACCGUCAAGAGAAUUCCUAAGGUCUGAGACCAAUGCUGUAAAACUUUCUGCUGCACUUCGGCCUUUUCUAAAUCCGAAUUGUUCAUUUGGAGGAGAUACAGGGGAAUAUUUCUCAAAAAAAGAGGGAAUCCAUUCAUCAUUCUUCGGCAGUUUAGGAAUUGAAACACGCUUAAACCUCUUCAUAUAGUUCCAUACUGUACUAACAGGAGUAUAUUGAU